rnacentral:rRNA from 1 species
CAAGCGACUCUCAGUACGUGCUCGAUAUGUGGAGUGGAGGACGAGAAUACGUUUCAUGCGCUUGUUACGUGCCCCAAGGCUCGUGCGUUGCGCAUGGCCAUGAGAGAUAUUUGGGAGUUACCGACGGAGGAUGCAUUUAGGUAUACUGGGUCAGAUUGGUUUCUUCUUCUUCUAAGUCAAGUGAGACAGUCUAUGCGGGACAAAAUUAUUUUCAUUUUCUGGAGAGCCUGGCACUUGAGAAAUGAUUUAAUUUCUAGCAAGGGCACGGAGUCAGUCACAAAUUCGACCAAUUUUAUUGAUAAUUAUUGGUCGUCCUUUGGCGCAAGUCAUUCAAGGCCAUUGGAGGAUUCAAAGAAUAAAGGGAAAAUUCCGAUGAGUGGUCUGCAAAGUGCUCCAAAUACUUUGGAAGUUCAGAUGGGUUGCAAACCCCCACCUUCAGGUUAUAUCAAAAUUAAUGUCGACGCAAGCUUUGUGGAAAGUAUUAGCGCGGCAAGUUUGGGUGUGGUGGCUAGGGAUUUUGUUGGCAAAAGUCUUGAUCUCUUCAUGGGACUACAUUGGGAGGUGUAG